UUGCUCUGGCAGCACAUACACUAAAAUUGGAACGAUACAGAGAGGAUUAGCAUGGCCCCUGCCCAAGGACAACACAUAAAUUUGUGAAGCGUUCUGUGUUUUU